rnacentral:misc_RNA from 1 species
CUCCUUUUAUAUGUCGUGGCUCUCUCGCUGGUAAAUUUUAAAGCGCCGUCCCUCGUUUUCUUCUUUUAUACGUCGCCGGUGUGUCGGUUCAUACAGAUUUUACAGAUAAGAUUUGAAGUUAGGUGUUAAGACUAGAAGUGUCUGUGCCUCCGUCCGCACAGUAAUGGCAUUCGUUUCUUUCGUUGGUAGAGUUCUCUUCGCCUCUGUUUUCAUCCUCUCUGCUUGGCAAGAAUUCAAUGAGUUUGGUACUGAUGGAGGGCCAGCAGCAAAAUCUUUUGCACCAAAAUUCAAAGUUUUCUCAGGGCACGUGUCAUCUCAUACUGGGUUUCAAGUGCCACCUGUUGAAAUGAAGCGCGCAGUUGCUGCUGCGAUAGCCAUGAAGGGUGUUGGAAGCCUUCUUUUCAUCUUUGGCAGUUCGCUUGGUGCUCAUCUUCUGCUUCUGCACCAAGCAAUUGUUACUCCAAUAUUGUAUGACUUUUACAACUAUGAUGCUGACAAGAAAGAAUUUAAUCAGCUUUUCAUGAAGUUCACACAGAACUUGGCACUGUUUGGGGCAUUGCUUUUCUUCAUUGGCAUGAAGAACUCAAUUCCAAGGAGACAACUCAAGAAAAAGCCGCUGAAAUCAAAGACAAUGUGAGAAAGGAACUAUUGAAGUUAUGGAGAUUUAGCUUUAGACAGCUUCUUGAUGUUGAUUUUGCCGGAGAUUAGUUUAGUAUGGUUGUAACAGAUUUUCCUCUUUCAAAGGUUAGGGACCUAUAAUGGAGAAAAAAGGAGAGGUGUUUUAAUUGUUGAGAUUGUGCUGUUGUCAUGUACUUUGCCAUUUGUGGCCACAAUUGAGGUUUUAGAUGCGAAUUGCGAUCCUUUGAUAGUCCUCUUUUAACUUUGCUGGUAUGUCCAAUUCGAUUACAAGGCUCUAAUUUGAAGCGUUGUCUAUUCACUCUUGCUGGGGUAAAAUAGGGAAUCUGAUGUUGAAAACAGUUACCAGUUGAGCUUUUGCUCUGCGGAUUCUUUAGUUUUGGUGUAAUGGUUUUAGGAACCGUGCGUUAUUGCUGUUUACCAUUACACCAAAACUAAAGAAUCCGCA